ACACUUAUUGUCCAAGGCAAAUGUCUUCUAGCUCAUUGAUCUUUAGCAUGGGGGCAAUAUCCAUGAAAGUCAAUCCUGCAUUUGUCUCCAUACUCAUCAUAACCACUUCAUUGGCUAUCCAUACACCUGUCCACUUGUAUCUAGCCAUCACAUCGGCUUUGGGGCGUUCUGACCUGGGCUCAUAUCAUGGCCCACACACCUUUUCCUCAGGUGUCUCCGCUCGUUGUCAUGCGGCGGUCUGAAUUGGGGCUCCUCUAAUGGCCCUCACACCUUCUCUAAGGUGUCUUCGCCCGUUGUCAUAGGGCGGUCUGAACUGGGGCUCCUCUCAUAGCCCUCACACCUUCUCUACGGUGUCUUCGCCCGUUGUCAUGGGGCGGUCGCAUCCUCCUUCAGCUGAGAUGCUUUAAAGUGGCUCCAAAAUUCUCUACCACCAUGUGCACUAUGGGAGAGAUUACUGCCACUGACUACAUAGAAAGAGAAAGUUGCGGUAUACUCCUCGCAAUCCUCCACCUCGAUUUCUAUGUUUGGAGCUUCUGUGCCUUUCUGCUUGACAGCUCCACCUACACCAACUCUCUUUGGUGUCUUCGCCUUUCAUCAUAGGCGGUUGCCUUGUAUCACAGGCAUUUGCACCCCCUCAAUUAGGUGCCUCUGCAACAGCUCUCUUUCCAUCCUUACAUGCAUUGGAAAGGUCUUCGCAUGUUGUCUUCAUUAAGAGCACAAGAGACUUCCUGUUGUACAAACUUUAACAGUCUCUGCUCUGAGCUUCAUCUGGGAACACUUCUUCUCCUUGCACCUGUUGUCUCAUUACAGUACCUCGUUGAAUCUUACGGGUACUCAUGCACAAUCUCCGUGUGCCCUCGUGCAUUUUCUGUUCUCCAGAAUUUCUCCCUAUUCCUUGCUUAUGUUUGACAGCAGCUCAUCCUGUCACAACACCUGUCCAAGUCAAAAUAGGGUGCCAAUCUUUAUCCCCUUGCUGUAUUCCUCUUCCAUUAUCAGGGUCUUCAUCAAUUCUUCCCUCGAGAAAUCACAGUCACCGAAUCUAACUUCUUUGGAGAAAUCACCACUUCAUCAGAUCCUUGAUCAUACGGAACCCAAUUGUUCCCUUGUGCCGUCGUCCUGCUAGUCUUCAACCGUUUCAUUACAAACUGCUAUAUAUACGAAAAUAGUACCGUAUGGAUAAUCCUUCCACUAAGCAAGUUCCCAGGAAAGAUUGGAGGGGUCACACUGGUCCCGCUUAAAACCCAAUCUCCUAGACAGAACUUCUUAGGCCAUAUCUAUCCAUCGUACUGUCUUUCCGUAUAUACAACCAUUUGCUAGCUUUGUUGCGGCUUUCCUUUACAAGUGAUCUGGAAUAUACUGGUUUAAUACAUCAUUUCUCAACAUCUGGCGAGACUACCAGUGCUUAGAUUCGUCAAGAUUGGUCUUCAUCAGUUUCCACUCUACACCUCAAAUUGUCCACAUAAUCGGGUGUCCAGAGUGUCCCAAUUUUGCCUUCCUUCAAGGCAACUGAAAAAUUCUCUCCACUUAGCAGUUCAGCACAUGUAAUUGGGUAAACAUGUGCACCUUCUUCUUCUUCAUCUCCAUCGACCACCAUGAUGACCUUCAGAUGCCUCCUGAUCGGGCAAUCUCUUUUGUUAAUUCACCACCGCCAUUUUUGGUCUCAAAUCUCAACGAUCGGACCGUACCAUUGCAUCCGGAAUGAUCAAAUUAGCUGGAAACAAGUCUGAAAUCGUCCAAAUCGCAUUUCAGACGGCUACGAUUUGAUCAAAACAAUUCUGGCCUGAUGAACGGCCCAGAUUCAAUCUCAGAUCCGGUUUCACAUAGACUCUGCUGCACAGAAUCUUAUCCCUCGGCUCGCGGCUCGGCUCGGCUUCACAACGGCUCGGCUCGGCUUCACAACGGCUCGGCUCAACUCGGCUCAACUUGGCUCGGCUCGCGUCUGAUGAUGUGGCAUGUGGGUCCCACUUUGCUGACAUGUCUGCUGACUGGUCGAUGAUGUGGCUGAUGACAUGGCAUGCCUACUGUGCAUGCUGACAUCACACUUACAUCAGGCUGAUGUCAUCCCUGGCAUGCCUACUGUGCAUGCUGACAUCACAAUUAUGUCAUGCUGACGUCAUUAAUAUCCGGGUCAGCCAUGUGGGUCGGGUCAACUGGUAUUCUGGUCGGGUCAGCCCAUCCGGGCGAAGAAGACGCGUGGCACGCGUGGGGCGCGUCUGCGCGCGUAGGCAGACGCCUUGCCGGAGAGUGAUGGAGAGUGCGGCCAUGUCCGACGUCCGAUUUUGACGCCGUUUUCACCAGUGGCUUCGUCUCGUCCUCCUCUACAUGGUGGUAUGGUCAAAACACCAUUUUGAGAACUUUCAUUUUUGAGCAAAAAUCAAACACCCCUUUAAACCAUGUGCUCUGAUACCAAUUGUUGGGGAAUUUCCGGCUCCCCCAUGCUCGGACCGGGGAUGUUCUGAUACUUGCUCAUCGGAGGGUUAAAACACACUGACACAAUAUUUUACGUGGUUCGGCAAAACCGCCUACAUCCACGGGAGAGAGUCCAUAUUAUUUAGAGAUAGAGAAAGGAUACAAUAAAUACAUGGAGGAGGAUCACUCAAUACAUGGAGGAGGAUCACUCAACUCCCAGCUCACACACCCUGCUGCCCAUGGGAGCAACUCCUCUUUCUCUUCUUCUCUUCACGUUCUCACACACUCUCAAUUCUCUCACAUUUCUCUCUCAAAUAUAAGCCUCCUUUAUAGGCAUUUUAUGGUCAACUUUCUCCAGCAAUAGCAAGGGGACAAUAGGUCCCGAAAUCAUGCCACUAAUUGUGGCAUUAGUGAUGCUUCCACUAAGCCACAAUUAGUGGUGGGGUAUUGCCAAUAAAUGGCAAUAUCCCAACAAUCACCCCCUUUGCCAUUUGUGUGGGCAAUUGUUUUCUUGCUUCUUCAGCACAAGCUUGCAUUCUGCAGUUCUUCAAAGUUUCCAUUUUGAGAGCGUCUUCAACACAACAUUCCCCUUCGAGCGUAUCAACCAUGCUCGGUCCGGAAUGAUUUUUCAAGCCUUACACCAAGGCUUCCAACACCCCCUCAAACAAAUAUUUCCAAGUGCGACAGUCAUUGAGUAUUUCAAUGUGAUCACAAGCUCACCACUCUUCCAAGAGUCUACUCAUCCAGGAGUUGCGCCUGCCCUCUGUUCCACCCUAGGAACCACGCCUUACUUCUCCGUGAGUCUCUUGCUCUUAGUCGUAAGAGUCCAGGUAGCUCUCCACCUUUAACCAUGGGGGCAGCCCAUUAAAGGUUGAUCCAUAUCUGUUUUCAUACUCUGAGUAUUACAAUGCCAUUACCGAGCUCACCACCUUGACAAGAGUCAACUCGUUCCUGGAACAUGCGCAUGCCCUCUGCUCCUUCAUAGCAGCCGCGCCUUAAUGCUCCACAAGUCACACACUUAUUGUCCAAGGCAAAUGUCUUUUAGCUCAUUGAUCUUUAGCAUGGGGGCAAUAUCCAUGAAAGUCAAUCCUGCAUUUGUCUCCAUACUCAUCAUAGUCACUUCAUUGGCUAUACACAUGUCCACUCAUAUCUAGCCAUUACAUUGGCUCUGGGGUUGUUCUGAAUUGGGCUCAUAUCGUGGCCCACACACCUUCUCCUUAGGUGUCUCCGCUCGUCGUCAUGCGGCGGUCUGAAAUAGGGCUCCUAUCGCGGCCCUCACACCUUCUCUAAGGUGUCUUCGCCCGUUG
rnacentral:lncRNA from 1 species